CGGGGGCGGGCCCGGCGGAAAGCGCUUAACCCCUGCGCGCCCGGCGCCGCUGCGCGCCCCUCCCCACGCCGCGGGUACACCUUCCGGGCGGGGCCUCGGGGGACCGCCUCCCGCGCUGAUUCUGCCCUCGGGCGCUCGGCACCGGCACGGGGGGUGGGGGGGAGGGGGGGGCGGCGCCAACGGCGGGCCGGCGUGGACGGAAAUUAAAUGAAGGCCGGAGGGAGUAACCCCCGCAAAGCGCAUCUCUGGCCGCCCUCGUGGAAAAUCCUUCCAGCUCCUGGGCUCCCGCCCGGCGCUCUUCCACCCCCCACCCCGACCCCACCCCGGCAGUGAUCGCCCCCGGCAAACUGUGCGUCUCUCUCUCCCUUGCGCAUCGCUGUUUCCCCGGGGACCUAGAACAGCACCUCACAUCCUGAUCAAUACAUAUGUCGAAAAUAAUUUUAAAAUAAUAAUAAUAAUGGGACUUUCAGGAACCGUAACCUCGAGAAAUGGAGAAGGGAGACCAUUCCUCACAUCACUAAACAUUUUGUGUGAAGGCCAGCACCUGAAAAAUGCUUAACUACUUGGUGGGAUCAAAUUUCUCAAAGGCAGAGGUCAUCUAUCCGUCCAGGCAGCUGACGAGCCAUGAAGACCAAAUGGAACAUGGGAUCCUGGAUGGCUUCCUGAACCACAGAAGGGACAUUAGUAGGACAGCUGGUGAAACAGGAAUAGUACUGUACCAAUAUUAAUUUCCGGAUUUGGGUAACCGUACUGUGUUUAUGCAACAUCUGGAGAAUUGGGGGAGGGGUGUUUGAGACUUCUUUAGACUGUUUGCAAAAUGUUUGUAAGUUUAAAAAUUCAGAAUAAAGAGUUAAAAAAAAAUUAGAGUAAUCAUAGAGACUGCAGAACUCGCUAAAUGAGACAACUCCCAAACUGAUCUGGCUGUGUAAUCAGCUACUAAUUACCAUUAAUGAUGGGAACUGCUUAAUUUCCAGGCAGCACAGUGAGGAGGAGCUUUUACCACAAACUUAGUGGCUUAAAAUACCACCCACGUAUUCUCUCCCGAUUCUGUAGGUCAGAAGUCACACUGGCAAGACUGGGGUCUCUGCUCAGGGUCUCAGGAGGCCGAAAUCACUGUGAGCAGGGGAGUUCCCAACCGGAGACUGGAGAAAAACCGCCUCGCCAGCUCAUUCCCAGGGCAGAAUUCAGUUCCUGUAGUUCAGGAGUAAAGUCCUCACUUCCUGCCGGCCGCCGCCAGCACUCUGUUCCCAGGGGCUGCCCGCAUCCUUGCCACGUGGCCACCUCCUGUCUUCAGGUCAGCGGAGGCAGGUGGAUGGCUUCUCGGGCUUUGAACUCUGACCCCUUCCUCUGGGACCAGCGGAGGAAACUCCCUGCCUUAAGGAAGGACACAGGCCCUUGCAGAUGGUUUCCGUAUCGUAAGCCCAGCUGAUUUGGGAUCCUACUUUUGUCAGCAAAUUCACGGCAAUACUGGGUUAGUGUUUGAGUAACUGGGGAAGGUUUGUGUACACGAGGGCCAGGAAUCCUGGGGCCACGUGGGAGUCCUGCCUGCCGCAGGGUAGUUUCUUAAACCAAAUAAAUGGAUAUAAACGGGCAACAGGUUGGUGGACGGUGGGGGGCACGGCCUACCUGCUCUGAGGACGUGGGCUCCCCGGUGCCCACCAGAUCAGUCUGACCUGGCUCAGAGAGAGUCUCCUUCUUUCCUACUAACCCUCCCGUUUAAACCGGUUCCCAAGUACAGCCCUGACCGUGUUGGAAUGAAAUUAUCAUCUCUUCUCUUUCCGGUCGCGGAGUUUCAGAAAUCAGGAUUCAGUCUCUAGGGGACAGACGCUAUCCACAUCCUCGCUGUCCCGGAUGGAAGGAGAGUAGCAUCGUGUUUAGUGCUCAGCAGCAGCUCCGGAGGCACCAGCAGCUGGGAGUGCACGCCAGCUGUUCCCUGCCAGUCGGGGACAGUUGUCCCUUUCUUCACAAGGGAAGAGUGGCUGCAGCGAACGGGGUUUAAGUUGGGCCUUUGAAGCCCACCGAGCCCAGGGCCGGGCUUGCAUUGAGGAUGGAAUCACUGAAAACAUCAGAGCCCUAACGGACUCCAGAAUGUCACCAAGCUGCUCUUGUGAAGCUCGCUCCUGUGCCAGCAGAUGACCGGGCUUUUUGUCGUUGUUGCAACAAGCGUGUCCUUUUUUCUCAGCACUCUGACAAACUCCUGCUUCAAGCAGGGGCGAGCAUUCACCCCCACUCGCUACUGACAAAGCUGCGGCUAAGGGAAGUGGCCUGCCCUGGGCGCCUGGCCACAAAAGACGGAGCAGAGACCUCCAGCUGGGCCUCUCGACAGAUGCCACUGUCCUCACCGUGCCACAGCCUCUCUCCAGGGAGCUGUGUUCUCUCCAGUCAGUCGUUGUCCUCCGGGCGGGGCAUCACAGUCCUCAGAGGGCUUGGCUGAGCUGGGAACCCAGGCCCAUCCGACCUCAGUGUUUUUAGUCUUAAUAACCUAUUUACGGCUGAGAAGCCAGACUGCCUCUUUCCCAGAAGUCAGGCACAACUGCUCUGGCCAAGCGGUGGCUUUCCACUCCCAUUAUGGUCCUAGAAGAUGAUGCUGCCCUUCUGAAGAGGAAAAUGAAGAGUCUUUGUGAUUCAAAUGAGUCACAUUGUCACCUCCAGAGAAAAAGCAAGUCUUCGAAGUGGGCUCUCACUUAACCCGUGAUCAGAACAACUUGGAGGCAAACUGGACGGCAUCGUGGAGGCUACGUGGUGGAAGAUGUGUGACCAGCUCCAGAACUGGCCCUCCCUUCCACGCCCCGGGCCAUUUCUUCCCUCCUCUGCCUCUGUGUCCCCAUCUGUAAAAUGCAGAGAAUAUUAGUUGUUGGCCCGAUGUGAGGACCGAAUGACUGCUUAAAAGAGAAGCAGGAUUUCUUUUUUUUUUUUUAAUGUUUAUUUUUGAGAGAGAGAGAGAGAGAGAGAGAGAGAGACACUGCAAGCAGGGGAGGGGCAGAGAGAGAGGGAGACAGAGGAUCCAAAGUGGGCUCUACGCUGACAGCAAAGAACUGGGUGCAGGGCUCGAACCCACAAACUGCGAGAUCGUGACCAGGGCGUAAGUCAGAAGAUUAACUGACUGAGCCACCCAGGCGCCCCGAAAACGCAGAAUUUCUAAUGUUGGAGGAACAUAUAUUUUUACUGCACUUGAGGGUGGCUUUUCUACAUUAUACAAAAGACUGCUUCGAGAUAUUUCUAUUUUUCAAUAUGCAUUUUAUCCAAAUUCAAAAUUUUAGAUUUUCCUUAAGUUCUUAGGCUUAACUCAAAGCUGCAUUAUUCUACUUAUAACCUUAUCAUAUAAAAUAUAGUAAAACUUAACAGUCACUGUUCAGGGGAAUUUGAUGACCGGUCCCAUGUAGAAACCCAGCUAUUUAAACUGCCUUAUCAAUUAAAAACUGCAUUUAUGAAAUACUUUAUACUUCAGAACACUUUGGUUUGCUCACAAGCCUUGCCAAAUAACCAACUAAAUAUGGUGAAUCUUUAGUUCUUUUAUUAAAUGUUCCCAUACUGCUGACAAUCUUAAUAAAAUUGCAUCGCACCUUUUAGCUUAAAGCUCAGGUCAUGACCUCAGAGUCGUGAGAUUGAGCCCCGAGUUGGGCUCUGUGCUGAGUGUGGAACCUGCUUAAGAUUGUCUCUCUGUCCUUCCUUGGCUCACACGUGUGCUCGCUCGUGCUCUCUCUCUCUCAAAAAAAAAAAAAAAAAUUUUUUUUUUUUUUUAAAUGGGAUCACAAGGCCUGUCCAUUGGAUACUCAAAUUUGCCACAUCCUCUUAAAAUUACAAGUUCUCAAGAUGCCCAAGAGAUACUGGUCACCUAAACUUAGCCCCAAAAUAUCAAAAGUUUGGGUUUAAUUUGCUUCAUAUUCCUCUGUUUAAAUAGAAACUUUUCCACAGUUAAAAGAAAAAGACCCUGAAGAAACAGUUAUGUCAUAUCAGCAAGUCAGGGCUCCUGUCCCAAGGCACUGACUAAGGUUACUUAUCGACCAGAAAGACCCUGAUUGGAACAGCAAAAAAUAUCCAACAUAAUAAAGAUUUUCCAGACCUUC